ACGGAAGGCAGCAGUGGGGAAUAUUGCGCAAUGGGGGAAACCCUGAUGCAGCGACGCCGCGUGAGUGAUGAAGUAUUUCGGUACGUAAAACUCUAACAGCAGGGAAGAUAAUGACGGUACCUGACUAAGAAGCCCCGGCUAACUACGUGCCAGCAGCCGCGGUAAUACGUAGGGGGCAAGCGUUAUCCGGAUUUACUGGGUGUAAAGGGAGUGUAGGUGGCCUGGCAAGCCAGAUGUGAAAGCCCGCAGCUCAACUGCGGGACUGCAUUUGGAACUGUUAGGCUUGAGUGCAGGAGAGGAAAGUGGAAUUCCUAGUGUAGCGGUGAAAUGCGUAGAUAUUAGGAGGAACACCAGUGGCGAAGGCGGCUUACUGGACUAUAACUGACGUUGAGGCUCGAAAGCGUGGGGAGCAAACAGGAUUAGAUACCCUGGUA
rnacentral:rRNA from 1 species